CCUACGGGAGGCAGCAGUGGGGAAUAUUGGACAAUGGGGGGAACCCUGAUCCAGCGACGCCGCGUGAGUGAAGAAGUAUUUCGGUAUGUAAAGCUCUAUCAGCAGGGAAGAAAAUGACGGUACCUGACUAAGAAGCCCCGGCUAACUACGUGCCAGCAGCCGCGGUAAUACGUAGGGGGCAAGCGUUAUCCGGAUUUACUGGGUGUAAAGGGGGCGUAGGCGGUGUAGCAAGUCUGAUGUGAAAUGGCGGGGCUCAACCCCGGGACUGCAUUGGAACCGGUUGAACUGGAGUACAGGAGAGGUAAGCGGAAUUCCUGGUGUAGCGGUGAAAUGCGUAGAGAUUAGGAGGAACACCAGUGGCGAAGGCGGCUUACUGGACUGUAACUGACGUUGAGGCUCGAAAGCGUGGGGAGCAAACAGGAUUAGAUACCUUUGUAGUC
rnacentral:rRNA from 1 species